GUGGGGAAUUUUGGACAAUGGGCGCAAGCCUGAUCCAGCAAUGCCGCGUGCAGGAAGAAGGCCUUCGGGUUGUAAACUGCUUUUGUACGGAACGAAACGGUCCUGGUUAAUACCUGGGGCUAAUGACGGUACCGUAAGAAUAAGCACCGGCUAACUACGUGCCAGCAGCCGCGGUAAUACGUAGGGUGCGAGCGUUAAUCGGAAUUACUGGGCGUAAAGCGUGCGCAGGCGGUGCUGUAAGACAGGCGUGAAAUCCCCGGGCUCAACCUGGGAAUUGCGCUUGUGACUGCAGUGCUGGAGUACGGCAGAGGGGGAGGGAAUUCCGCGUGUAGCAGUGAAAUGCGUAGAUAUGCGGAGGAACACCGAUGGCGAAGGCAGUCCCCUGGGCCUGUACUGACGCUGAGGAGCGAAAGCAUGGGGAGCGAACAGGAUUAGAAACCCGUGUAGUCC
rnacentral:rRNA from 1 species